rnacentral:lncRNA from 10 species
CCCACCCGACCCAAAAGCCCAGCCGGCUUCACCUCUCAAUAGAAUCAAAAGCAGUAAAGUUCAGAGCUGGGUGGUCAUAUAUGAAUCACUUAACCUUUCUUUCUUUUUUCCUUAAAAUAGAGAUGGGGUCUGCUAUGCUGCCCUGGCUGGUUUUAAACUCCUGGGCUCAAGUGAUCCUCCCACCUCGGCCUCCCAAAGUGCUCAGAUUACAGGCCUGAGCCACCGCUCCCGGCCUGAAUCAGUUAACCUUUCUGGGCAUUCAUAUCAUUGACUAUAAAAUGGGGGUAGUGUUAGUUUAUGCUUCCCAGAUUGCAGAUGAGAAUCUAAAUAUCUGCCCACAACCCCCAAUGGGAGGUACAGGAGCCAACCAAGCAAGCCAUGGUCAGGAUCUGGUUCCUGGAGGCUGGAAUCCGGGGAAGCCAGAGAGGAGAGAGCCAGAAGGUUCCUCAGCAGCCUUUGCUCAUAGGCUGGCUUAACUAUGAUCCUGCUGUGGGAAGAUAAAAAAACUGACCGAAGGAGAUAGGCUGAGUAAUGGCUCCCUCAAGAUGUCCAUAUUUCAUCCCUGGAACCUGUGAAUACAUUUCUUUAUGUGGCAAAAGGGACUUUGUGGCUGUGAUUAAACUAAGAACCUUGAAAUGAGGAGAUUCUCCGGGAUCGUCCAGAUGCAUCAAAUGUAACAAGAAGGAGUCAGAGUCAGGCUGGAAGCCGCUAUGCUGCUGGCUUUGAAGGCAGAUGAAGGGGCCAAGGAAUUAGGGUGGUCUCUAGAAUCUGGAAAAGGCAAUGAAAUUGAUUCUCCCCUAGAGCUUUCAGAAGGAAUGCAGCCUUGCCCACACCUUCAUUUUAGACCAGUGAAACUGAUUUUAGACUUCUGACUGCCAGAACUGUAAGAUAAUAAAUGUAUAUUGUUUGAAGCUACUAGGUUUGUGGUCAUUUGUUACAUCAGCAACAG